GAGAUCGGGAUAACACCUGGAAACAGAUGCUAAUACCGGAUAACAACAGAUGAUGCCUAUCAACUGUUUAAAAGUAUGGUUCUGCUAUCACUCUCGGAUGGACCUGCGGUGCAUUAGCUAGUUGGUAGGGUAACGGCCUACCAAGGCGAUGAUGCAUAGCCCGAGUUGAGAGACUGAUCGGGCCACAUUGGGGACUGAGACACGGGGCCCAAAACUCCUACGGGGGGAGGGGCAGCAGGUAGGGGGAAUCUUCCACAAUGGACGCAAGUCUGAUGGAGCAACGCCGCGUGAGUGAAGAAGGGUUUCGGCUCGUAAAGCUCUGUUGUUGGUGAAGAAGGACAGGGGUAGUAACUGGCCUUUAUUUGACGGUAAUCAACCAGAAAGUCACGGCUAACUACGUGCCAGCAGCCGCGGUAAU
rnacentral:rRNA from 1 species